rnacentral:lncRNA from 1 species
GACAUCUCUCCGAACCUCUCUGGUGGCCAAGCCUGCGCAACACUCCCAAGUUUUGCCGACGGAUAAGCCCCCACCAGCGUCGAUCGGAUUCUUCACGACAGACGAACUCCAUCCAAGUUUCCACGAUGAUCGACCACCUUCUAGACUUCGUCCGGACUCCUACGGGAGUCGGACUUCGUUCGGACUCCUACGGGAGUCAGACUUCAUCCCCGACUCUGGCUGCAGGAAGACUUUGUCCGGACUCCUACGGGAGUUGGACUUCAUCCCCGACUCUGACUGCAGGAAGACUUCGUCCGGACUCCUAGGGAGCCAGACUUCAUCCCCGACUUCAAUUGCAGGUAGACUUUGUCCGGACUCCUAUGGGAGCCGGACUUCACCCCCGACUCCAGCCGUAGGAGGACUUCGUCCGGACUCCUACGGGAGCCGGACUUC